rnacentral:rRNA from 1 species
GAUGAACGCUGGCGGCGUGCCUAAUACAUGCAAGUCGAGCGAACGGACGAGAAGCUUGCUUCUCUGAUGUUAGCGGCGGACGGGUGAGUAACACGUGGAUAACCUACCUAUAAGACUGGGAUAACUUCGGGAAACCGGAGCUAAUACCGGAUAAUAUUUUGAACCGCAUGGUUCAAAAGUGAAAGACGGUCUUGCUGUCACUUAUAGAUGGAUCCGCGCUGCAUUAGCUAGUUGGUAAGGUAACGGCUUACCAAGGCAACGAUGCAUAGCCGACCUGAGAGGGUGAUCGGCCACACUGGAACUGAGACACGGUCCAGACUCCUACGGGAGGCAGCAGUAGGGAAUCUUCCGCCAUGGGCGAAAGCCUGACGGAGCAACGCCGCGUGAGUGAUGAAGGUCUUCGGAUCGUAAAACUCUGUUAUUCGGGAAGAACAUAUGUGUAAGUAACUGUGCACAUCUUGACGGUACCUAAUCAGAAAGCCACGGCUAACUACGUG